AGACAUGUGGCGAAAUCUUCCCGGCACAUCAUAUAACUGAACACCCAAAUCUCUACUGCUAGAACUAAAUAAGAAUGUCGGCCGAGGCUCUACCGGACGAACUCUGGAGAAAAAUACUCGAAACCGGAAUCGGAAGCUCCAGCUUCACCUUUAAGGACCUCUGUUGCCUCUCCAUGUCCUGUAGACGCCUUCACCGAUUAUCCGGUGAAGACUCUUUCUGGUCCCACUUACUCUCCUCUGAUUUCGACAACUCAUCAUCAUCAUCACAGGCGACAUCGAUUAAGUCAAGUUACAAAAUUAGGUUUGAGAAGGACCGCGAGAGGAAAUUGGCGGCACAUAGAAGGGCUGUGUUGAGGAAAGAGAGUCAAGUGGCCGAGAAUUUGCGGAAGAUUCGAGAAAUUGAGAGGAAAUUGCGAGAGGAGACCGACAAAAUGAAAAGUACAGUUGCUGAAUUAUCCAAUUUACGCAGGGUCAGGCAAGCUUCAGUAGCCUUGAAUGUGUGGCAGCCAGAAGUUGUUAGAGGUAAACAGAAACAAAUAGUUGAGCAGUGUGUUAUUCCUGUUGAAUCUAGAUUACAUUCACUUGAGAUGGAACUUAGACUUUGCAAGCAACAGAUUGCAGGGUUUGACAAUGCCUAUAGAGAGCAAAAACAAAGACUCGAGAAGGCGAAGGAAGAGUUGGGAUCCAUGAAGUAUCACCCGUUGCGAGAGUAUAAGUUUACAAGUAGUGAGGACAAUGAGUGCAACUUAAUGAGGCAGAAGUUGAAAACAAAUAAUAAGUACACUUGGAUUUAUCUCACGGUUGAAAUUAGAUAUAAAAAUUUGGCCGAACAACGUACACAUACCCAAGGUUUGUCGUAAUGACAAAUUGGUGCUCAAAAGGUUUAGAAACGACAAACAGGCUGAGGUGAAAAAAGAUCUCACAAGUCACAACUGAAGAAGUUUUUGAAAGUAAGAAGCAUAAACUUGCAGAACUUGGAAUUGCUCUACUUGCAAAUCUAGAGUCUAAUAGUAAAUCCUUGAAAGAGAGUUACAAAUUGCCUGAGAUGAUAAUCCUUCUGUUGCGAAACUUGGAUUUCUCUCAAUUUAUAACAACUACUGUAUUAGGCUUCCUACUGAAAAGGAGCUAGAGAUGAAAGUUUCCAAGGAUGUUAAGAAGAUGAGGUUCUAUAACCAAAUCCUUUUGGAUGAAAUUGUUGGUGAAUGGUCAAGAAAGAUUGCGAUAUUGAAGCAUUCAUAUUUUGUAAAAAAAUUAGUUGAUAACAUUUUAAAUUACUAGGAUGAAGGAUUUAAUGAGUAGACAAUUAUUUGGUUGAAAAU